GCCAACUAUAACAAUCAAUCACAUGCAUAGUCACACAAGUUGAGAACAGGCCAAUCCUUCAUCAAACACAGUUACAAUACAUCUCUUUCACGUUUCCCCACAGUGGAUUUGAUUUAUUUUAGUCCUGAUAACCGCUUUCACAUUUUUUCCCUUGAAUUUAAGCAGAAGAACUAGUCUGUAAAGAGCAUAAUAAAUAGUCCCUGCGUUGCCGACCGACCACUCCAUGACCUCAGAAGACAUCUUCGAGGGACACAGCAGAGGGGCCUGGAAUGUAACCUUAUCAACAAAACAGCAAUGCGUUUUCUGUGGCAAACCCUCACUGAGUUUUAACACUAAUUUGAAAAAAAAAUUCUGAAACGUGUAUCCAGAUUUGCCUCUUCUGGAAACACAUCAAAAGGUAUGUGCCAAUUUUCAUCUCUCUUGUCCAUCUUGAAGCCGGCUGCUCCUGGGCACUUCAGCUAUAUUUAUGAGCAAGCUGCUGGGCAGUGUGCAGAAUUGGCCCUCCAGCAAAUCUCCCUCCCAUUCCUCCCUUCACCCACACAGAUGUCCUUGGCAGCUUCCCCUGUAGCAGUGUGGUUGUGAUCCAGAACUGAAUGUCAAGGGGCAAAUGAAUCUGCUUCACUGACCACAUGGUGCUGUGUCUUGCUGUUCCUAACAUCUUCUGCCACUGCAAUUAACUCCAUUUUGAGGUAGUUUUCUCAAAAUCGCUUCCUCUAUCUCCGAAAUGAUCACCUUGAAGAAGUAUUAGGAUGUUUCUCUCAUUAUGCAGCUCCACUUCUACUCUGAGAAAUAUGGCCUUGUCUAAAAGUAGAUGAAGUACACACAGCGCAGUGAACAUAGCUUCAGAGGAGAAACAACGGCUGCAAUCCUUUUGGAUUAUUACCAGGCAUGUGGAGUAAG